AACGAACGCUGGCGGCAGGCCUAACACAUGCAAGUCGAGCGAGGACUUCGGUUCUAGCGGCGGACGGGUGAGUAACGCGUGGGAAUGUGCCCUUCUCUACGGAAUAGCCCUGGGAAACUGGGAGUAAUACCGUAUACGCCCUAUUGGGGAAAGAUUUAUCGGAGAAGGAUCAGCCCGCGUUGGAUUAGGUAGUUGGUGGGGUAAUGGCCUACCAAGCCGACGAUCCAUAGCUGGUUUGAGAGGAUGAUCAGCCACACUGGGACUGAGACACGGCCCAGACUCCUACGGGAGGCAGCAGUGGGGAAUCUUAGACAAUGGGGGCAACCCUGACCUAGCCAUGCCGCGUGAGUGAUGAAGGCCUUAGGGUUGUAAAGCUCUUUCAGCUGGGAAGAUAAUGACGGUACCAGCAGAAGAAGCCCCGGCUAACUCCGUG
rnacentral:rRNA from 1 species